rnacentral:rRNA from 1 species
GGCGAACGCUGGCGGCGUGCUUACACAUGCAAGUCGAACGGAAAGGCCCUGCUUUUGUGGGGUGCUCGAGUGGCGAACGGGUGAGUAACACGUGAGUAACCUGCCCUUGACUUUGGGAUAACUUCAGGAAACUGGGGCUAAUACCGGAUAGGAGCUCCUGCUGCAUGGUGGGGGUUGGAAAGUUUCGGCGGUUGGGGAUGGACUCGCGGCUUAUCAGCUUGUUGGUGGGGUAGUGGCUUACCAAGGCUUUGACGGGUAGCCGGCCUGAGAGGGUGACCGGCCACAUUGGGACUGAGAUACGGCCCAGACUCCUACGGGAGGCAGCAGUGGGGAAUAUUGCACAAUGGGCGGAAGCCUGAUGCAGCAACGCCGCGUGCGGGAUGACGGCCUUCGGGUUGUAAACCGCUUUCGCCUGUGACGAAGCGUGAGUGACGGUAAUGGGUAAAGAAGCACCGGCUAACUACGUG